UUAUGGGUGCCAAAAUUUUUUUUUUUUUUUUUUUGGUCUACCAAACUGAUCGGAUUUGUCUGAUUUGCUUUAAUCAGUAAUAAAAGUUUGACGUUUUUGUUUCCACAGUAGGAAUUUGUGCCACAUUAAAAGCACAGUGUUUUGUCUCGAUGAACACACUACAAUAAUACGCAUAAAAACUGAUGAAGAUCAUGUUUUAAUGUUACCACUACAUGAUCAGAGCAUGUUGGAGGAGGAUGAGAUGGUUCUUUCCCAAAAAUGUUUGACAUGCCAAAACGGUAAACUCAGCUAAAAGCCACCAAAUGACACACGAUGUGCCUGAAGGUUUUUCUUUGGCGCAUCACAACCUAUGUUUUGCUUCGAUUCUUUGUUCAUAUCCUGUUAAAUAUAAAUCUCGACACUUUGUUAAACAUCGUUAUUUAGUAGAAAUAUCGUAAAGAGUGCUUUAAGAUGGGAAAAGUAUUUAUGCACGUUAUAAAAUGUGAACAUUUUUCAUGACUCGUCUUCCACUUACUCAAAAAUGUCAACACAAAACGUGCUCAGACGUUCGAGCUUUUCCUGUUUUUUUUUUUUUUUUUUUUUUUUGGAUCCUCUUCAGUGCCUUAUUUAUUGGAGGACGAUUUGUGAGCUCGUCGGCUGAAACUGGAAAGAAGAAGCAGGUUUUUUUGGUUCCACCUGAAAUUUCAUAUAAGACAUCUUUUAGUCCUCGCGUGUCAUUUAUCUUCCAUCGACCAGACCACUUUUUUUGCUCUGUUGACCACAAUGUACCAAGAAUAUUUCUCUUCCAUGCAUAUCUAAUGUCCUUCUGUCGCUGUUAUGCUCUGUCUUGUAUAUUCCUCUGUGUUCCGAUACAUUUUUGUACUUGUAUUAUUGAUAACAAAGUUUCCUUUAUCUUAUUUUAAAGAAAUAAAGAUUGAAGUUUUAAAUAUUUA